UGUGUACUCCCUCCAUUCCAAAAUACUUGACUUCCAUUUGUCCAAAAAUGGAUGUACCUAUAUACUAAGACAUGUCUAGAUACAUAUAUAUUUUGACAAAUAGAAGGCAUGUAUUGUGCAAUGGAGGGAGUAGAAU
rfam:Triticum aestivum genome assembly, contig: Triticum_aestivum_CS42_TGACv1_scaffold_193601_3AL